CUGACGCUAAAGCUCGAAGGUGCGGGUAUCGAACAGGAUUAGAUACCCUGGUAGUCCGCACGGUAAACGAUGGAUGCCCGCUGUUGGCGAUACAGUGUCAGCGGCCAAGCGAAAGCGUUAAGCAUCCCACCUGGGGAGUACGCCGGCAACGGUGAAACUCAAAGGAAUUGACGGGGGCCCGCACAAGCGGAGGAACAUGUGGUUUAAUUCGAUGAUACGCGAGGAACCUUACCCGGGCUUGAACUGCAGGGGAACGAUCCAGAGAUGGUGAGGUCAGCAAUGACCCCUGUGGAGGUGCUGCAUGGUUGUCGUCAGCUCGUGCCGUGAGGUGUCGGCUUAAGUGCCAUAACGAGCGCAACCCUUUUCAUCAGUUGCCAUCAGGCAGUGCUGGGCACUCUGGUGAUACUGCCACCGUAAGGUGUGAGGAAGGUGGGGAUGACGUCAAAUCAGCACGGCCUUUACGUCCGGGGCUACACACGUGUUACAAUGGGUGGUACAGAGAGUCGGUCGCUGGCAAUAGCGAUCCAAUCCUUAAAGCCAUCCUCAGUUCGGAUUGGGGUCUGCAACCCGACCCCAUGAAGCUGGAUUCGCUAGUAAUCG
rnacentral:rRNA from 1 species